rnacentral:siRNA from 1 species
AUGAUGGAUCCUAUCUAUUAUUGC